UACGUAGGUGGCGAGCGUUGUCCGGAUUUACUGGGCGUAAAGAGCGCGCAGGCGGUCGAUCAAGUCGAGUGUGAAAGCCCCCGGCUCAACUGGGGAGGGUCAUUCGAUACUGAUCGACUCGAAGGCAGGAGAGGGUAGUGGAAUUCCCGGUGUAGUGGUGAAAUGCGUAGAUAUCGGGAGGAACACCAGUGGCGAAGGCGACUACCUGGCCUGUUCUUGACGCUGAGGCGCGAAAGCUAGGGGAGCAAACAGG
rnacentral:rRNA from 1 species